GUGGAUUAGAUACCCUGGUAGUCCACGCCGUAAACGAUGGAUACUAGCUGUUUGGGAGUAAUUCUGAGUGGCUAAGCGAAAGUGAUAAGUAUCCCACCUGGGGAGUACGGGCGCAAGCCUGAAACUCAAAGGAAUUGACGGGGGCCCGCACAAGCGGUGGAGCAUGUGGUUUAAUUCGAUGAUACGCGAGGAACCUUACCAGGGCUUAAAUGUGUUUUGACCGAUUUGGAAACAGAUCUUUCGCAAGACAAAAUACAAGGUGCUGCACGGCCGUCGACAACU
rnacentral:rRNA from 1 species